AGAGUUUGAUCCUGGCUCAGGACGAACGCUGGCGGCGUGCUUAACACAUGCAAGUCGAGCGGUAAGGCCCUUCGGGGUACACGAGCGGCGAACGGGUGAGUAACACGUGGGUAACCUGCCCUGUACUCUGGGAUAAGCCUUGGAAACGAGGUCUAAUACCGGAUAUGACACCGAUCCGCAUGGUUUGGUGUGGAAAGUUCCGGCGGUACAGGAUGGACCCGCGGCCUAUCAGCUUGUUGGUGGGGUAAUGGCCUACCAAGGCGACGACGGGUAGCCGGCCUGAGAGGGUGACCGGCCACACUGGGACUGAGACACGGCCCAGACUCCUACGGGAGGCAGCAGUGGGGAAUAUUGCACAAUGGGCGAAAGCCUGAUGCAGCGACGCCGCGUGAGGGAUGACGGCCUUCGGGUUGUAAACCUCUUUCAGCAGGGACGAAGCGCAAGUGACGGUACCUGCAGAAGAAGCACCGGCUAACUACGUGCCAGCAGCCGCGGUAAUACGUAGGGUGCGAGCGUUGUCCGGAAUUAUUGGGCGUAAAGAGCUCGUAGGCGGUUUGUCGCGUCGGCCGUGAAAACUUGGGGCUUAACCCCAAGCUUGCGGUCGAUACGGGCAGACUUGAGUUCGGCAGGGGAGACUGGAAUUCCUGGUGUAGCGGUGAAAUGCGCAGAUAUCAGGAGGAACACCGGUGGCGAAGGCGGGUCUCUGGGCCGACACUGACGCUGAGGAGCGAAAGCGUGGGGAGCGAACAGGAUUAGAUACCCUAGUAGUCC
rnacentral:rRNA from 1 species